rnacentral:lncRNA from 10 species
AUCUCAGCCUUCUUGCCCAUGUGACCUUGGCAAGUCAUUUGACCGAAAUGAAGGUGAUGCCUAUAUCACAGAAUUAGGUUAUUAUGAAGCUUUUCAAUAAAUGACAUCAGUUCCUUCUUGUGCCUCUCUGAAAUCCAUAUAUUCUGCAGGAGAAGAAGGAAGGUUGGGAUGAGGAGCUACUUACAGCCACCCCAGGAGACAAGAAAAUACUAUUAUUAUCUGGAAGAAGCCAAAGCAGCAGAAUUCAAUAGCUACCCAAGGUCAUCCAGUCAAGGCAGAGCCUAGAUUCAGACCCAUGUCUGAAUUUCAAGCAAGUGCUCUUUAUUGGGCCACACAGAUUUAGCACAGGUCAGAACCCAGACCUCUCAUUCUUCUAAGUUGAAAAGGGGGAGAAAAGUCUCAUACAUACAAUGUCUAGUCCUUUCCAUUUGUUCCUCCUGCGCUCCCGUGCAGAGGGCAACUGUGAUGGUGGAGGGAGGACGUCAUCUUCAAUGGCAGGAUAUGUCUCACCGUAAGCCCCUAAGAGGACCCCGAAAAGCAGAAGGAGUCUUAAUACUGCUUCAAAUCUUACCCAGAGCUAAACCAAGAGCCUUUUAAUUACUAAGAUUUUGCUUACAAUACCAUGAAACACACUCAAUGUAUGUACAUACACAGUUCGGUGAUUUUUUUAGUAAAUUUACAGAGUUGUACAAUCAUCACUUUAAAGUAGAACAUUUUCAUCACCUUAAACAGCUCCUUUGUGCACACUGGCAAUCACUCCCCACCUGCUGGCCCCGGGCAAACACGGCUCUGUUUCAACAGAUUUACCUUACCUAACACCAAACAUAAAUGGAAUUCUACAACUUAAUCUUUUGUCUUUUCACUUAGCAAUAAGGUGUUUGAGAUUCAUCUAUGCUGUGCCAUGUUUAAGUUGUUUAUUACAUUUUACUGCUGAAUAAUACUCCAUCAUAUGGAUACGUCAUAUUUUGUCUAUGCAUUUACCAGUAGAUGGACAUUUGCUAGCUGCUAGCAAUUAUGAAUAACACUGCUAUGAACAUUCACAUUCAAGUUUUUGUGUGUGGACAUAUCUUCUCAUUUCUUUGGGUUAUAGAACCAGAAAUGAAAUUGCUGGGUAUUAUGGUUAACUCUACUCUGCAUUUUGAGGAACUACCAACCUGUUUACAUUUUACAUUGUAAGAGGGUUCCAAUUUCCCCACAUCCUCACCAACACUUGGUAUUGUCGGUCUUUUUGCUUAUAAUCAUUCUAGUGGAUCGGUAGCUAAUUUGACAUGGACAAAUAGCCUACAACAUCUACGGUAACCUCCGCAACUCCUUUGAAAAAAAUUAUACCUAAAGAAAAGUUAGAAUAAUACAAAUACUUAGAAUCACCAUUAGUUACUUUGCCAAUUUCUAUAUAUAUUUGGGGGGAUGAUGUUAUUGCCAAGCCUCUUUGCUACACCAAUAAGUUGGUGACAUCAUGGCAUUUUGUCUCUCAAUAUUUCAGUGUUUAUCCUCAUAAGAACAAGGACUGGCUCCUACACUGCAAAAAUCUAAUUAUAACAUUCAGAAAAUUUAACAUUUAUACAACACUAUCAUUGUUUAACAUAUAAUUGAUAUUCAGAUUUUCCAAAUGUAUACUGUAUGGGUUUUUAAAAAUAGGAAUAACUUUUAUUGAAUAAGAUAUGGGGCUUUCUAUAAUUCUAAAAUAAGUUUUGGGUCCUUCCAUGCCUUUUCAUGGUUUAGUAGCUCAUUUUGUUUUAGUGCUGAAAAAUAUUGCAUUGUCUGGAUGUACCACACUUUAUCCAUUCACCUACUGAAAGACAUCUUGGCUGCUUCCAAGUUUUAGCAAUUAUGAAUAAAGGUGCUAU